GACGAACGCUGGCGGCGUGCUUAACACAUGCAAGUCGAACGGAAAGGCCCUGCUUUUGUGGGGUGCUCGAGUGGCGAACGGGUGAGUAACACGUGAGUAACCUGCCCUUGACUUUGGGAUAACUUCAGGAAACUGGGGCUAAUACCGGCUAGGAGCUCCUGCUGCAUGGUGGGGGUUGGAAAGUUUCGGCGGUUGGGGAUGGACUCGCGGCUUAUCAGCUUGUUGGUGGGGUAGUGGCUUACCAAGGCUUUGACGGGUAGCCGGCCUGAGAGGGUGACCGGCCACAUUGGGACUGAGAUGCGGCCCGGACUCCUACGGGAGGCAGCAGUGGAGUAUAUUGCACAAUGGGCGGAAGCAUGAUGUAGCAACGCCGCGUGCGGGGUGACGGCCUUCGGGUUGUAAACCGAUUUCGCCUGUGACGAAGCGUGAGUGACGGUAAUGGGUAAAGAAGCACCGGCUAACUACGUG
rnacentral:rRNA from 1 species